rnacentral:sRNA from 1 species
GGGAGCAGGGGAAGGACCACUCUGCUGCAGCCAUUCUUGUUGCUAACCCAGCAGAACUGGACAUAAUGGGAACAGGGUCUGAAGACAGUCAGUCCAGGGCUGCAGUGGGUGCUGAGUCUGGGGAAGUCUCCACCUAGAGGGGCAGCUGGGCAGUGGCAGCUCCCUUGGAAUGGCUCAGCCUCUGGACAUCACCCCACCCAACCAGAGCCCUGGCUCUUGCUGGAUGUCCACAGAUGAGUGCCUGGGAUUGGUCUCAGCCACUAUGGGGGGAUGUGCAGGGAGAGGUGAUGAGGGAGUGAGCAGGACUGUCUAUGUGCCUCUGUCCUCAUCCUGAGGCUUGGGUCUGAAAUUGGUGCUGCAGCACUGGCACGCGUGAGUGGGGCAGGAGGUGGGCAGCAGGGGAGGAGCAUUGGAGGGUGGUCCUGAGCAUCAUUUGGAUUCUUCUCCUGCCUCACUUUAGCCUCAUUCUCACAUCACCCUGUCCAUUCUCUCCCUUGGAAGCCAACAUCAGGAAGGCUGUGGAGCUGGCAUAUUGCACUAUAACAGAGGCUGCUGUUCACGUUUCAAACAACGUGAUUGUGUCCCUGGAGCAGUGCACUGUCAUGGCCCCGGAGGGUUGGGUCAUAGUAGUUAUUAGCUGAAUGCCUACACUUCACACCACCUCUGUUCCUCACACCUACCCAAGAAGAGCAGUAAUUUCACAGCAAAGAGAGCUGAGAUGUAGGGAGGUUAAAUGACCUUGCCAAGGUCGCAGGCAAACGCAUGCUGGGGCCAGCAUUCAAAACAAGAUUAGUCUCACACUCAAGUGCUUGCUCUCUGCCCCCUCCCUGUGAUUACACGCGCACUGUAACACCUGACGUUGCCUAAUGCCUUCCCCUUUUGUUAAUGUCAACUGGAGCCUCGUAAAGACCCUGAGUAGCCAGGCUGUGUACACUUUAUCUCCAUGAGACAGAGAAAGGACUGAGGUUUGGAGAUGUUAAAAAGACUCGCCUAAACACCCUCAGCAAGCUAAUGGAAGAGGAUCUGAAUCUAGAUUAUCUGUUCCCAGUGCAGUGAGAAGAUGAUCUCAGAAUGAGUUCCCUGGGGGAACAUUUUUUUAAUCGGAAUUUUCAUUGACAUAAUUAAAGACUAAUACCCAGUUGUCUUUAAUAACGAGCGUUUACACACCAUGCCCAGUUUCUCCCAAGGGCAACAUUUGCAAAAUUAGUACAAUAUCAAAACCAAGAUUGGACAUCAAUACAAUCAAUCUAUGAUCUUAUUCAGAUUUGCCCACAAUUGCACCAUGUGUAUGUGAAACUCUAAACAACUUUAACCUGUGGAGGUUCAUGUAUCCAUCACCACAGUCUACAUACUGAAAAGAUCCCAAACCACAAGGAUCCCCCCUGUGUGCUUUGAUUUAUUUAUUUAGAGAUAAGUUCUCACUCAUUUGUCCAGGCCGGUCUCUUGGGGUGCCCAAAGACCUUUCGUCCAGGUCUCACUUUUGUCCAGCACACAUGGAAUGGGUGCGGUGGCUCACGCCUGUAAUCUUAGCACUUCGAGAGGCUGAGGCAGGAGGAUCCCUUGAGCCUGGGAGUUCGAAACAGCCUGGGCAAUGUGGCAAAAUCCCAGCUUUACUAAAAAUACAAAAAUUAGUCGGGCAUGGUGGUGCACAACUAUAGUCCCAGCAACUCAGGAGGCUGAGGUGGGAGAAUCGCUUGAGCCCAGAAGGUUGAGGCUGCAGUGAGGCUUUGUGCAGUGAAGAUUUGUACAGUGCUGAACAGAUCCUGUGGAGUGGGGGUGGGCAGAGUGGAUGGAAAGGUUGAGAAACUGCAGACAUUGUCUUGAGUGUCACAAAUGGAAAUGCAGCAUCCCAGGCAGUAUUGCCUGUUCAGGGGCAAGGAACGAAGUGGACAUCAGCAGGUGGCCUUGCUGCCAUGUGGGUGUCACUAUCUCCCCCGGCAGGGGAGAAAACAGGCUUUUUCUUGCAGGUCACACAGCUCAUGAGGGGUGGAACUAGAUUCACCCUAGGCCUCGCUGAUCUCUGUACAACGGGGGCCAGAGCUCUUCUGAGGAAGGCAGGCUUCCCUUUAUACCUGCACUGACUUUUUUCUCCUUUUGGAGGGAGAGCAGAGACCAUGUCUGACAUAGAAGAGGUGGUGGAAGAGUACGAGGAGGAGGAGCAGGAAGGUAAGCGUAAACGUGUGUACUCAUUUGGAUCAAAGACAGCCUGGUUCGAAACUGACCCACCUCUUCUCUCUUCUCUUGCUGCCUGGACUUCUCUUCUGAGCAGAAGCAGCUGUUGAAGAGCAGGAGGAGGCAGCGGAAGAGGAUGCUGAAGCAGAGGCUGAGAUCGAGGAGACCAGGGCAGAAGAAGAUGAAGAAGAAGAGGAAGCAAAGGAGGCUGAAGGUAAGGAUAUCAGGAGAGAGGUACAAGGGAGGCAAAGGAACCCCUCACAGCAGCUUUGGAGGAGAAUGCCCACAGUGCUCUUUCCAGGGAAGUGGAUGUGCACUGAGAGGGUUUGGGAGAGGAGAGGACAGAACUUGGUGGCACUUCCAAAGUUUUAGAUGUUGAGCUUUCAACUUUGCCCCUUCUCCCAGAGAAGUUGCAUUGGUGGCACCCAGUGGGAGAGGGGACCAUUGUCCAGCCCCCUGGUCUGGACAGAGCAAUGGGACCCAGAAGUCAUAUCCACACAUGAAGCUCCUAGAGCUUAGGUGAAAUCACUUGUAGGAUGAAAUCCCAAUGCAUAGAUGGUCAUGGUGGGUCAUUGCUGCAGUCAUCGUCAUGCUGCAGCCUUCACCAGGGUUCUAGGUGGUCCCAGUCACUUCUCCAAAGGGGAGGGGACAACCAGCUGGGGCUUGGAAUCAUGUCAUCAGCUUCUGCCCUGUGGCCACCAGGAAGUCCAGGGGGUAACAAAGAAGGCAAAGACCUGGGAGGGGAUUCUAGGGCCAGGACCCUUGGGGACCUUUCCAAAGGCCUUGUCACUGUGAAGCACAAGAGAAGCAAAAUUGCUUUGCCCAG